AUACGUAGGUGACAAGCGUUAUCCGGAUUUACUGGGCGUAAAGGGCGUGUAGGCGGUCUUGCAAGUCAGAAGUGAAAUUCCUGAGCUCAACUCGGGCGCUGCUUCUGAAACUGCAGGACUUGAGUGCUGGAGGGGAUAGCGGAAUUCCUAGUGGAGCGGUAAAAUGCGCAGAUAUAAGGAAGAACACCGGAGGCGAAGGCGGCUAGCUGGACAUUACCGGACGCUGGGGCGCGAAAGCUUGGGGAGAAAAAAGGAUUGUAUACCCUGGUAUUCCACGCCGUAAACGAUGAAUACUAGGGGUAGGGGGUAUCGACGCCCUCUGUGCCGCAGUUAACACAAUAAGUAUUCCGCCUGGGGAGUACGGCCGCAAGGUUGAAACUCAAAUGAAUUGACGGGG
rnacentral:rRNA from 1 species